CUCCUUGGAUUUUUCAUGCAUGGCUCCUUGUAUUUUGGCAUCCAAAAUCUAAUCAAUAUCAUCUUAUUUGCCGCCCCACAUAUCCCUUGUUUAAAUAGGAAUAGAUUAGGGUUUUCGUUAAGAGAUAAGAGUCCAACUAUCCUAGAACUCUUGUAUAUGCCGCCCAAGCCUUCUUAUUUUGUGCACCCCUCUCUUACACGUUAAAAGCAUAAAAAAAAAGAGCUUCAUCGCAUAAAAACUA
rnacentral:lncRNA from 1 species